GUAUUUUUUAUAAAUGUCGUGUUUUUUUGGUUGGAUCUGGAGUUAGGCAAUAAUCAUCAUUAUCAUCAUAAGAAACAUAAUUGGAGUUGUUAGAAUUAAGUAGUAGUGUCAAUGUGUUGUCAUAGGUGUAAAAAAAAUUGUGAAAAAAUAUAUUACUAACAAAAUAGUUGUUAUAUGUAUUAACAAAAAAAAUUUGUUAUACUACAAUCGUUUGGAAUAAAAUUUGUUAGAAAGGAACACAUAGGAGUUAAGUUAUGCAUACAUUGUAUAUGCAUACAUUUAUAUAUAUAUAAUAAUUUAUUCAUAUUUAUAUCAACAAAUAUUUUAUGAUUGUUAGUGUUAUAAGUUCGUGUUCGGCUUCUAUUUUUUUGUUUUUUAUAGCCAAUAUUGGUAUUAAUGUUAGAAUUAAUAGUAGUGGUUGUUUUACAACUAUUAUCACUACUACUGUUAUCACCAAUGUUAUUAGUAUUGUUUUUUUUUUUCUUUUCUUUAUCUGAUUGUAUAAAUAAAUCUGUGUCACUUUCUACCACAUGAUCAUUUGUAUAAUUAGUACUUCUUUUAAAAAAAAAUUUAUUACUUAUAGUACUAUUAACUGUUAUAUUUUUUGUUUUUUUUACCAUCACAUGCAUUAUAAUUAUUAAUAUUUCCUUCAUCUGUGUCACUAAAAAAGUAUAUACCUCCUUUAUUUUUUAGUUCGUUACAAAAUGGAACACGUUUUUCAUAAACACUACUACUGUUUGCACUACUCAAAUUAUCAUUAUUAUUAUUAUUAUCAUUUUUGUUUAAUAUAUUUAAUGCUUCUUUUUGGUAAUCCUCCUUAUGUUUGUCAUGGCGGUUAUAACCAUAUAGGUUAUAGGUUUUAUUCCUUUUAUUUCCAAACUCAUAAUGCAAGUUAUUAUAUGAUAUAUAAUUAAUAAAUUGACAUUUUUCAUUUAAUUUUUUCAAAUGCUCCAAAACAUUAACUUUUUUUAUUUUAUUUUUUUUAUGUAUAUAUAAUAAUGUACUGUUCUCAUUAUCUAUUUGUCCUUGUUCGAUUAUGUGUCUGUCUGCUAUGUUUGAGAAUAAUAGUGAUAGUGGUAAAACAUAUGGUAAUUUGUUGUGUUUGUUUUUUCCAUUACGUUUGCCACUACUUUUGUCACUACUUUUGCCACUACGUUUGCCACUACUUUUACCACUACUUUUGCCAUUACGUUUGCCACUACUUUUUCCACUACUUUUUCCAUUAUUUUUUCCAUUAUUUUUUCCAUUAUUUUUUCCAUUAUUUUUUCCAUUUUUUUUUCCAUUUUUUUUUAUAACAUUACUAGUAGUUAUCGGAUUUUUGUAAAGUAUAGGUUCUGUUUGUUGUAUGGUAUUAUUAACAUAACUAUUCAACUGAGAUUUUAUUUCUUGUAUAUUCAUAUUUUUUUACAUAAGAAUCUUUAACUUUACAACUUUGUAUUGUAUCAACAAUGAAUGUAUUGUCACUGGUAUCGUUUGUAUUUUCUUUAAGACCUAUACUUUUUAUAUUUUGUAUCACCUGACUUCCGUUAGUGUUAGUAUUAGUAUUAGUAUUAGUAUUAGUAUUAGUAUCAGUUGGCACGUAUGUACUACCUUCUUGUUGGGUACUAGCAAUAUGAGUAGAUAAUUGUUUAUUUGUGUUGACAUUACUUUUUCUUUCAUGUAUAGUAUUCCCUUUUUUUAUUUUCUAACGUAUUAUUUUUUAUUUGACUAUAGUAGUGAUUCAAAUUAUAGGUAGAAUUAUUUCCAACAAGUUUAGUAUAACAUUUAGUAUUUCCAAUAAGAAGGUUAUGAUGGUUGUAUUUUUUUUUUUUUUUUUUUUUUUAUAUUACUUUUAAUCCUUUUUAAAAUAUUAAUUUUGGAUGUAAAAGAAGAAAAAGUAUCAUCAUUUUUAGAAGGUUUAAAUAAAAAAUUUGUAUGAUUGAAUGUUAUUUUAUUU
rnacentral:lncRNA from 1 species